rnacentral:rRNA from 1 species
GCAGUAGCCGCGGGAAUACGUAGGUGGCAAGCGUUGUCCGGAAUUAUUGGGCGUAAAGGGCUCGCAGGCGGUUUCUUAAGUCUGAUGUGAAAGCCCCCGGCUCAACCGGGGAGGGUCAUUGGAAACUGGGAAACUUGAGUGCAGAAGAGGAGAGUGGAAUUCCACGUGUAGCGGUGAAAUGCGUAGAGAUGUGGAGGAACACCAGUGGCGAAGGCGACUCUCUGGUCUGUAACUGACGCUGAGGGGCGAAAGCGUGGGGAGCGGACAGGAUUAGAUACCCCCGUAGUCCCUGUCUCUUAUAC